rnacentral:tmRNA from 1 species
GGGGGCGACCUAGAUUCGACGGAGAUACGGUUUCGCAGGAUGCGUGCCGAGGACCAUCAACCUCGACAAAAGAUGGAAAACCACUAACUGCGAAUACGCAGCUCGCUCUCGCAGCUUAAUAAACUGUGAGCGUCCACUCUGGUCAGCCUGCGGGCCGGGGACCGGAUGUCAUUUAGCAGGCUGGCUGUCAACGGCUACCUCGGACGUUGACGGCGAGAUUUUUCGGGGUGGGUUCCCGGCGGUUUUUCCGCCUCUUCACGCCGGGAGCGACACUUUAGAGGUGGAUACGCAUCGUAGAUUCCUGCGGGGAUGUUUUUUCGGACGCGGGUGCGAAUCCCGCCGCCUCCACCA